UCAAAUUUUUAAAUAACCAUGAUUGUAAGGCUGAGCCAUAUUGGAACCUGAGGCAAUAAAAAUGAGCACCCUAUGUACCUGUUUUUUUUUUGUUUUGUUUUGUUUUGUUUUGUUUUGUUUUGUUUUUGCGGUACGCGGGCCUCUCACUGCUGUGGCCUCUCCCGUUGCGGAGCACAGGCUCCGGACGCGCAGGCUCAGCGGCCAUGGCUCACGGACCCAGCCGCUCCGCGGCAUGUGGGAUCCUCCCAGACCGGGGCACGAACCCAUGUCCCCAGCAUCAGCAGGCGGACUCUCAGCCACUGCGCCACCAGGGAAGCCCAAUGUACCUGUUUUUAAGUAGUUUUUAAUGGCAAAUUUUCUCCUAGGACUGUAAGGCAGUUGAAAAAAAUUGAAAAGUAGAUAUUUAUGAAGGCCUUACUACGUGCUGGGUGUGAGGGAGAGAGAAACCACAGACAACUCCUAGGUUUGAGGGCGACUGAGUGAGUGGUGGUCCACGGACAGAGAUGAGACCUGGGGAGCAGAGAGCGUUCUGGGGCAGAAGAACUUCCAGAUGCAGUUGGAAGAUGGUGGUUCUGUUCCUUCUCCACCCCUGGACUCAAGAGAGGAUCCUCUGAGAGUCCCCUGGCCCCUCGGAGCCUCUGGUCGCAGCUUGGAAAUGAGGCUGACAACUCCUGAUUCCUGCGCUUCGGGGUCAUGACAAGGCUUAACGAGGUCAUCGUGCUCAUUCUCCUUUUCUCUCUCGUGUCAUCAGUGAGUCUUAGGUUGGAUCAGCGUUAGCCCUGUUCGUCCUUGGGAGCUGAAAACUUGCUACCUUUCAAGAAUGGGUCCCCUUUUCCAAAGUUAUCCACCGGCUCCGUCCCUGAUGGCGAUCUCCUCCCGGUAGCCUGUCGCCUCUCUGGAGUCAGCUGGCAGUAUCAAAGCCAAGACGGAAUGAAAGAGGCCAGAGGGAGACAGACAGAGAGAACAGCGGGGGCGGGCGGGCAAAUGCAUCUGUGGUCUCGGGUAUUUCUGCCAGAACCGACACUCUGCCGCCUUUUUUUUUUUUUCUUUUUUUUUCUUGACAAGAGUCUGCUUGGAAAUGAAUGCACCCACACCGGUCUGCGGCUCUCUCUUCCCCUUGUUCAAAGGUGUCCUCAUUCAGGAGGGCUCCGUGAUGAACUCCCCAGGGCCCCAGCCCACACUCAGUUUCUUGCGCCCAGGGCUGUGAGUCAGUGCGCCUCUGGGCGUGCUCCCUCUUGCAAGGACACUUGUGGUUGGCCCAUUCCACUCCUAGCUAAUAAUCGGCCCUGCUAUUAUCGAGCAGCUAGGAUGUGGUGGGUAGAUACAAGUGAAGCAGAUAUCAUUAUGCCCAAAUAAUAGGGAAGGAAUCUGCUUCAGA